CGCCGUCAGCGCUGGCGCCGCAGGAAAGUUUGCGGCGGGGCCGGGCCGGGAGCGGGGCCGGGAGCGGGGCCGGGAGCGGCGCGAUGGACGCGCUGAAGUCGGCGGGUCGCGCCCUGCUGCGGAGCCCCAGCGUCCACAAACCCGCCUGGGCCGGCGGCCGGCACAAGAAGCUCCCGGAGAACUGGACCGAUACCCGCGAGACACUGCUGGAGGGGAUGCUCUUCAGCCUGAAGUACAUGGGCAUGACGCUGGUGGAGCAGCCUAAGGGAGAGGAGCUCUCCGCUGCCGCUGUCAAAAGGAUCGUGGCCACUGCAAAAGCAAGUGGAAAGAAACUGCAGAAAGUGACUCUGAAAGUCUCGCCCAGAGGGAUUGUGUUAAAUGACAGCGGCACAAAUGAGCUGAUCGAGAACAUCUCCAUAUACAGGAUAUCCUACUGCACAGCAGACAAGAUCCACGAUAAAGUGUUUGCCUACAUUGCCCAGAACCAGCUCAAUGAGAACCUGGAGUGCCAUGCCUUCCUCUGUACCAAACGGAAAAUGGCACAGGCGGUCACCCUCACCGUAGCCCAGGCCUUCAAAAUUGCGUUUGAGUUCUGGCAAGCAGCUAAGGAAGAGAAGGAGAAGCGGGAAAGAUCCAUCUUGGAAGAAGGGCCGAGCAGCCCCACCUUGGAAGCCCCAGCCCACCCCAAUGCACCAGCAGCCACAGGGAACUUGCUGGAUUUAGAAGACUCUGCCAAAUCACCCCUGACCAGCAGCGCAAACUCCCCACACUUGGACAACAGCAUGUUUGGGCCCAGCUCCUCUGUAAAUAACAACGUGGUGUGGGAAAUGGAUGAUGGUCUCGACGAGGCAUUUUCAAGACUGGCUCAGUCAAGAACAAACCCUCAUGUCCUCGAUACAGGACUGACAGCUCAAGAUAUCCAGAGUGCAGAAACACUCUCACCUGUAGACUGGAAUAAAAUAGAUUCCAACGCAGGCGAGAAAGAUGAUCUGUUCAUGUUUUGAGGUCAAAUGCAUCUGAGAGCUGACGAGAGAAUAACCACUAAAAGUCUAUGGACUGAAUCGUGCUGUUUCGGGUGCUGUACGCAAGGGACUCUUCUGAGGGCUCUUCACCAAGUCAGAUGAUGUUGCAGCACAGUUUAGACCAAAGCUUUAGAAACCUAAUGCAGAGUUUUGUACCUUGCUUUUACUUAAACCACAAGAUGCUCUUGAGUAUAUUUAUUCAUAGCUGUUACAGUUUACAUGUGUAUUGGAAGGUGUGUAGAGCAUCUGCAGUGUUAUGUGGCAAUAUACCAUGGAAGAACCUUCAGCAGUGCCUGUUCCUCUCCGAAAAAAGGCUAUGCAACACCAAAGUCUCUCUGUAUAUACUUUUCUAGACAAAGGUCUGCAGAUGGAAAUGCAAUUGCAAGCACAAACUGUUACUAAUCCACUGUUUCUUGAACAACACAUCACCUGCCUAGGCGGAGGGGCGGAGAUUUGCAGCAGCUGCUAACAGCGUUAAAAUCAAAGAGGUAGCAGAGAUCUUGCUUUUGUUGUGAAUGUCUGUGAUACUCUCACAGUUGUCAAUCACCCCUAUGGGUUCUGGCUGUUUUCUUCACCAGCUUUGUAUGGGAAUUGACACUUUUUUUUUUACCCAAAGACUCUAUGAAGUUUUGCACUUUAAAACUUGGAACUGAAAGCAAUGGUCCGAAUUGUCAAGGUAAGCAGUGCCUGUAACUUCUCUUCAGAAGCUAUUUACCCAAAAAAACCCCAACCUGGCAAUGCUGCGGGUCUGUUUCAAAACAAGACUAUUCACAUGCACCAUUUCUGAUGUGACACAAAAUACUAAGGCUCCGUUGCACUGUUGGCUUUAAAAGCAAAACGGCUGGGGAGUAACAAUUUGUUUUGCUAAAGCGCGUUGAAAAUUGCAGGUUGGGUGAACCCAGUAGCACAAUAGAUCUGUGUUCUUAGCUCUGCUAAGUGGAUUUGGCUGUGCAUGCCUUUUUACUGUCUCAAAACCAUUUGGUUGUUGCUCACUCAAUAGACUCAAAUGGAAUUGGAUUAGGCAAGACCAAUACCUGGAUGUUCAAUUAGCAGGAGGUGCCCCUUCCAGCGGUAUUCCGAUCCUCUUCCCCCCGUCUCCCGUGAGGCUUGGGAAGCUGUCUUCAUCUGCUCCUGGAAUUGAAAAUAAGUAAUGGAGCAGUAAGUGAUCGGAAGCAUCCACGGGAAGUUUCUGUCCAUCAGAAGGCUGUUCCCAGGGCCAUCCAGGUGGGAAGACGGCUGCAGUUAGACACUAGUCUGUGGUGCUGCCUCCAGGAAACAGUUAUGGGACUGGAUGCAGCCACACAGGGUGCAGGGGGACAGGCAGCAGCCGCUUUCCCUUCUGUGCUGGGCCACGAGGUGACCGUUGCAGCCGGCUCAGUAAAUCUGUCCCUGCCUGAGCCCCUGCCUCGCUGCAUUGCCCUCCAGCAAGUGCUCCUGAGUGAUGGUCACUUGUGUUAUGUGAGUUGAGGCCAAAUCCAGCUCCGAGGUUACAAACCGGCUGAUUCGGGGAAACGCUGAGCUGUUAAGGACGACAGCGUGCACUGCGGCAGGUACUGAGCUCUGAACUUCUCUCUCCUUGGAGCACUGAGAGAGUUUGUAAAUUCGUGCCAAGCUUGAGCGAGAGCUGUAGGGCCGUCGUUACCCAGAUCAUUCUUUUUUAAAGUACAAAUAAAGAGAGCAACAUUUCAUCUGAACACCUGAAUGCUGUAUUCUGGGUUUUAUAGCCAGCCCCAGGGUGCCAGGAGCUGCGGGCUGCUCUGCAAGGCUUUCUGUGCUCUGAAGCAAGAAGAAAUAACCGUCCUUGUGGAGAAGCACAAAUGCAUUUUGGCUCAGGAUGGAGGGAGGUGUUAGUUAAGCGCUGCUCUCCUCCACUCUAACAUGUCAGCGUUGCGUGACAGCUGUCUACAACAGCAACAGCAAACUGCCAGACCCUGAAGAGAUUCACCCCUGUCGAUGCCAAGGGGAGCUGAACCAAAAAAAUUGCCAGGCAAAGGCGAUGUUUGCUGAAAGCCCCCCCGCCAACCUCGUGGGGACCCCAGCAGGGGCUUGCUCAAGAGGAGCUCACCGCAGGUCAGCAAACGGUCCUGAAGGGGUAUUUUGCGAACGCAUCUCUGCCUCUGCUUUUGAACUUCUUCCAGGGGGUUGCAGCAGUUAAUGGCAGGAGACGAGAUUACAGCGGGAGACCAGAGUGGUGAUGCAGCGUUAGCAAAUGGCUUUUGUCAAAGUUUCCAUUGCAGGGAGCUGUGGAGCCGCGUGCCAACGCAGCUGCCCUCGGUGAACAUGAACAACGAAGGGUGUGGGGUUGUUCUGCCAAAUCUCUGCUGUGCAUGAAAGUAUCUCCCGCUAAAAAAGCUGUAAUUUGAGUGCCAAAACCCCUUAAAUUUCCCAGAGUUAACUUUUUUAUGCCUCCCUUCAGAGAAAAUCUUGCUGUCUGGUCCACCUCUCCCUGAAACCUGGGGCCUCGAUUCAUCAUGUCGAUGGUAACCUGGGGGUGACGGUGCCCGUGCUGUGCCCCUGCUCUGCUGCAAAAUAAAAUCUCCCAGAGCGGCUCCUUCUGUGGAGGCAGCACAAACCCUGCUGGACACCCAGAGCCAAACAAGAUGCAACGUGGGCUUGGCAGGACCCAGAAGCUUUCCCCGCACAGAGCAGACCUGGGAGCCCACACCAGCACUGCAGGGCCAGAAGCUGAUGAAAUUACCCGGUGCAAAUGAGAGCGAGUGAGCAGGGCCUCUGCUGCCAGCCCUCAGCUUGAAAGUCAUUUUAGCAGCAAGCCGGCAUCUGACUGCAAGCAAUUUAUCAGGAGUGAGUGGAUACUGCUUAUGACAGAGGGAGUCUUAAUAUUGCAUUACUUCAUUUAUUUAGCACCUCUCCUCUAAUGCCCAGGGGAAGGACAAUGGGAAGGAGUGUUGCGGGUUGCUGGGGGCUGGUUGUGAUUUUUCUUCCCUGCUAAAAGCAAACGUUUUCCAGCUGGUUCUUGGCUCAGAGAAGAAAUAUUUGCUUUACAAAAAGAAGGGUUGUCAAGUCAUUAAAAGCUGCAGGAAGAGGAAGUCUUCUGAGAUGGGAGUGGAAAUGGGGCCAAAGAGCUGGAGCCAGAAAGCAGAUGUAUGAAGAGCAGGAAGAUUGGAGGUAGUGAAUGUAAGGUAGAAGGUAAUUAAGUGACCAAGUGCUGGUUAAUUUACUGCCACUGGUAUCUCACGCUGGACAUGCACUUAGUCCCUUUUUUGCUGGGCUCUGAUCUUCAUCAGCAGCAAUUGCUUCUCGCUCCUGGCUCUGGAGCAGCUCCCAGCACGGCGGCUCUCUCGGCCAGCAGAGCCAAAGGGACCCUCUGCUCUGCCCAGAAAACGGAUUAGCACUCUGCUAUCAGGGCCACGCGCCGCUGUCAGCCGGUGCUGGCCUGCAGCCAGGCGCCUCGGAGCGGGGAGCCGGAGUCCAGGGUUCUCCAUCCUGCCCAGCACCCAGCUGGCACCGCUCACCUUUGGCAGCAUUGAGCAUCUCCCAGGGCAUCAACCUGCCGGAAAGCUGUUGGCCUCGGCUGUGAGCAGAGAUGUGUCAUUGCAAUUGAGUGCUUGUACCUUAUUCCCUGUAGUGUGGUCUGGGGGGCCCUUUGGAAGUCAGCAGGAGUCGCAGGAGGUGGGUUGUGCCAGCAAACCCAGCACGGGAGUGCAGGGAAAGCGGUGCCGGCUGUGCUCACAGGCAGGGACCCUGCCACCUUCCAGCCCUCCACUUUUCCUUCCAGGAGCCAGGCAUGAUUAUCACCGAUGUCACUGCGCCCACGUCAGGGCUGUGGGGUUGCUCCUCUCCCUGCAAAAGAAAAUAUCAGGAGAGGCAGGUUGUGAAACAUCAACCCCGUCAAGUUUUGGCUCUAAAAUCCCUGCUGACUUGUGUGAUUUAUCAUUCACCCAGCUGCUACUCACAGCUUGGAAAAGAUAAGUGAGGGGAGAAAAAAUGGAUUUUAAAAGCUUGGCUUUAAAGCCCAGGGCUCAGGCCAAGACUCCUGUCCUGGCUGAGGUAACAGGAUGGGAAGAACAUUACAGGUCACUGCUGAAAUAAAACAGCCAUCCACUUCAGGCUGCGGUACACAGGGGUAAUUCUGCCACCUUCUCUUCCCUAACACAUAUCUUUUGAACCAUGAUGCGAGGAAAACAGUGUUUAGAUACCAAAACCCCUGCCAUCUUCCUUGUCUUUGGAUUUAUUCUCCAGGCAUCUUGUUUGCCCCAAAUUUUUGCCAUCGCAGUUUCCAUGUCAGGCGAGCAGAAGCAAAUACAUGCCCAGAGCAUCACUAAGCCAUCAUCUCUCUGGUAGACAGGGUGAUGUCCAGGGGAUUCUUCUUCCCCUCCUUUCAAACCAGCUGCUCUGCAAACUCCACUCCAGAUCACUUGCUUUCUGCCUCCAAGGGGUUUUUUUCACCUUUCCAGCUACUGCUGUCAGCAUUCUUUUCCCCAGCAAAAACUCCAGCCUCCAUGCAAGAGUUUUCCUGACACUCUCGCUGUAAACCGCAAUGGCAGUUUCUGUCUCGGCUGUUAAUAAUCCCACGGAUGGUAACACCACUCCAGGCAAAGUUUUUGCUUAAAAGCUUUAAUGAUGAUACUUUACAGGGAGUUAUUUGGCUUGUACCUUUGUGUUUCCAUCUCCCUACCCAAACCUUGCUUAACAGCCCCCAAACUCACUGCUUGUCAGGUCUUGUUUUAGCUACAACCCUCCUCCAUCCCCUUGCUUGGUGGCACAACUUUUAAUGCGACAUCCCAGCACCAGGCCUGUCACUUGGCUGUUGCUUGUAUCACACACUCAUAUGUACGAGCCUCAGGUCUAAUUAAUGUAAUAAAAUGUGUAAAAGUACUAAAUCUCCUCAGACGUGGCAAUUUUAUCACUUCUAUAUACUGUCACAGCACAAGUAAAACUGACAGUAAAGAAUAAAACAGUUAUGUCGCUGGCAUUUUUUAUUACUUCUAAUAUGCUACCUUUUUUGUUACUGGAAAUUUAAAUUAUAAUGGUAUGCUUCGCUUAAAAAAAAGAAAGUAUCCAUAGCAACAGGAACAUCUAAAUUAUUACAGGCUGAUCACUUCUCUCCUAGAGUCACAUCACAUGCCUUUCAAAGACAGUCCCAGAGGUGCAGGAUUUUAAUAGAAUAUUUUUUUUUUACCUUUUUUGCAAAUAAACAACUGUAUACACAGCACUUUCUCCAUCAAUAUGCUACCUACAGAAAGAUCUGAACCUAAUAAUUGUCAGCAUGCUUCAUUACCCAGAGAGAGAGGGUUUCAAUCCUUACUUCAUACGAGUCUUUCUCAUCUGAGUCAGUUUUCCCUGGUUAUCCCAUGUGAAACUGGAAAAUUACCAUUCACUUCAGCUGAUGUAAAUUCUGACUUGAAUCAGGGGGAAGUAGGAGGGGAUGGGGAAGACCCCUGAGCCUGCAGCAUCAGGAAGCCGCUUGUUAGAUUAGAAGCUGGAGUCAGUUUUAUUUGUAUUUUAUUUUUUUAAAAUUCCUGGUUGUCAUCCCCAGAAAACAACUUCAGCAGCUGCUUAACAUUUAAAAGGCAAUCAGUGGGAAAAUACUCAGGUAUUUUUCAGCCACCAUCCCUACAUCUGAGUCUCCUUGGUGACUUUUGGUCCAAAGCACUUACAGCUUUCCACUCUUGAAAAAUUCCUUCACCUUAUUCAUGAAAGAGCCCUACCAAUACAUGCACAGAGCUGUCAAAUGUAAGAAGCAAAUAUGCUGGAAGAAAUAGAAGGACUUUUUUUCCUCCAACCUCAAUUAUAGGAAUCAUAUGCAUCAUCUGGAUCAAUAAUAGGUUGAAAUUGCUCAGCCAGAAAGAUUUUAUAUAUAAAAAAGCAGCAGCUGAUAGCCUUCUUCUAAGCUCAUGUAUUAUUAUGUUAUAACUGAAAUUAUGGUAGUAAACCAUGUUUACAGACUCUCUUGGAAAGCUCAGGUUAAGAACAAAGGCUGAAUAAAUGGAUUUGUACAUAGUAACAAGAUCUCAAACCAAGGCUGUAUGUAUCUGAGAUCUUAUCAUGUUCAGUAAUAGCAGAGAAUUGCUUUUUAUGUCCUUUGUAUCCCACUGCCGUGUGGUACAUUCCUGGGUCAUCCUUUCCUGCAUUUUCCCCCAGAGGUAGCUGCAAUUCAAGGAGUGUAUAUUCACCGAGCAAAACAUGCAAAUUACAGUGGAACGAGGCAGCCUUUAAAAACAUAAAAUAUUACUUAUCACUUAACCUUUGUAGAAUAAGAGCUGAUGUGCAGACAAGUGGUUGUGGUUCACCAAGGACAGCACAAAGCAGAAAUGAUAAAACCAAAUAAAAUGUGUCGGAGUUCCCUGGUUUGAUUGGUUUGUGAGGAAGGGUCAGGGAAGCUCUGCAUCCAUGGGAAAAAAGGGGUCUCCAAGGAGAGAGCUUGCAGGUUUUGGAUACGGUCAUCAGGGGCAAUACCAGGCAAACACUAUCACAGGAACCAGGUGUAUCGUCUGUCAGUGACUUUCAGAUCAACGUGGUUUCACAUGUGAGUUACAAAAAAAGUCUGAGUGAGAGAAGGUGGGUGGUUAAAGAGGACAGAGAAUGAUGCAAAAAAUCUGUCGGACCUGCAGAUCCAGCUCACAUU